AAGGAAUAUUGGUCAAUGGGCGCAAGCCUGAACCAGCCAUGCCGCGUGAAGGAUGAAGGCCCUAUGGGUCGUAAACUUCUUUUGUCAGGGAAAAAACCCCCGAACGUGUUCGGGGCUGAUGGUACCUGAAGAAUAAGCAUCGGCUAACUCCGUGCCAGCAGCCGCGGUAAUACGGAGGAUGCAAGCGUUAUCCGGAUUCAUUGGGUUUAAAGGGUGCGUAGGCGGAUUGGUAAGUCAGUGGUGAAAUCUCACGGCUCAACUGUGAAACUGCCAUUGAUACUGCCAGUCUUGAGUACAUUUGAAGUGGGCGGAAUGUGUCAUGUAGCGGUGAAAUGCUUAGAUAUGACACAGAACACCGAUUGCGAAGGCAGCUCACUAAACUGUAACUGACGCUGAGGCACGAAAGCGUGGGGAUCAAAC
rnacentral:rRNA from 1 species